rnacentral:rRNA from 1 species
GACGAACCGAGCGAACGUUGUUCGGAAUCACUGGGCUUAAAAGGGCGCGUAGGCGGGUGCUCAAGUCCGUGGUGAAAUCCUCCGGCUCAACCGGAGAACUGCCUCGGAUACUGGGUGCCUCGAGGGUGGUAGGGGUAUGCGGAACUAUCGGUGGAGCGGUGAAAUGCGUUGAUAUCGAUAGGAACUCCGGUGGCGAAGGCGGCAUACUGGACCACCUCUGACGCUGAGGCGCGAAAGCCAGGGGAGCAAACGGG